UACGGAGGGUGCAAGCGUUAUCCGGAUUCACUGGGUUUAAAGGGUGCGUAGGUGGUAUGGUAAGUCAGUGGUGAAAUCUCCAAGCUUAACUUGGAAACUGCCGUUGAUACUAUCAUUCUUGAAUAUCGUGGAGGUAAGCGGAAUAUGUCAUGUAGCGGUGAAAUGCUUAGAUAUGACAUAGAACACCGAUUGCGAAGGCAGCUUGCUACACGAUCAUUGACACUGAGGCACGAAAGCGUGGGGAUCAAACAGG
rnacentral:rRNA from 1 species